GACGAACGCUGGCGGCGUGCUUAACACAUGCAAGUCGAACGAAAAGGCCCUGCUUUGGUGCGGUGCUCUAGUGGCGAACGGGUGAGUAGCACGUGAGUAACCUGCCCCUGCCUGUGGGAUAACUUCAUGAAACUGGGGCUAAUACCGGAUAAGAGCUCCCGCUGCUUGGUGGGGGUUGGUAAGUUUCGGCGGUUGGGGGUGGAAUGGCGGCGUAUCGGCUUGUUCGUUGGGUAGUGGCUUACCAAGGCUUUGCCGGGUAGCCGGGCUGAGAGGGUGACAGGCCACGUCGGGACUGAGAUGCGGCACAGACUAGUACGGGAGGGAGCAGUGGAGAAUAGUGCACAAGGGGAGGAAGCAUGAUGCAGCAACGCCGCGUGGGGGAUGACGGGCAUCGGGUUGUAAACCGAUUUCGCCUGUGACGAAGCGUGAGUGACGGUAAUGGGUAAAGAAGCACCGGCUAACUACGUG
rnacentral:rRNA from 1 species